rnacentral:rRNA from 1 species
UACGAAGGGGGCUAGCGUUGUUCGGAAUUACUGGGCGUAAAGGGCGCGUAGGCGGCGUGUCAAGUCAGGCGUGAAAGCCCCGGGCUCAACCUGGGAACCGCGCUUGAGACUGGCAUGCUCGAGUUCGGGAGAGGAUGGUGGAAUUCCCAGUGUAGAGGUGAAAUUCGUAGAUAUUGGGAAGAACACCGAUGGCGAAGGCAGCCAUCUGGACCGACACUGACGCUGAGGCGCGAAAGCGUGGGGGAGCAAACAGGG